GACAGAGGUGCCGAGCGUUAGGCGGAAUCACUGGGCUUAAAGCGUGUGUAGGCGGAUCUGUAAGUACCUUGUGAAAUCCCACGGCUCAACCGUGGAACUGCUUGGUAUACUGCGGGUCUUGAGCCACCUAGGGGCAAGUGGAACAAACGGUGGAGCGGUGAAAUGCGUAGAUAUCGUUUGGAACGCCAAUGGUGAAAACAACUUGCUGGGGGUGUGCUGACGCUGAGACACGAAAGCCAGGGGAGCAAACGGG
rnacentral:rRNA from 1 species